CUCUAUCGUUGGACAACAGUCAACUGCGAGGCCAUCUUCGCCUCCCUCCUGGCGUAUAACCAUCUGCAUCUCUCGGCUCCAUGAUGAACUACGAUGAACAACCGUGAUAAUAGAGGAAAAAGGGCGUCCAUUCGGCAAUAUCUCCUUUCAUGCCUAAAAACCUUUUUAGAAGCAUACUCAUAAGAAGAAGAAGAAGAAGAAGAAGAAAACAAAAAAACAAGAAGAAAGAUCGAACCUUAUGCAAAUGCAGCUUGAGUACAAACGAUCCUGUUGAAAUCUUUACACAAGUAUGGCAUAAACUUCAAACUCAACUUAACAUAAGAACCACCAAUCUUUAUAAAUGAGAAGAUAUGAAAAAACAUGGGUUAGUUUCGACCUUUCUUGUAUGCAACAUUGAAGUUGA